ACUCCUACGGGAGGCAGCAGUGGGGAAUAUUGCACAAUGGGGGAAACCCUGAUGCAGCCAUGCCGCGUGUGUGAAGGAGGCCUUCGGGUUGUAAAGCACUUUCAGUNGGGAGGAAGGUAGUGUAGUUAACACCUGCAUUAUUUGACGUUACCUACAGGAAAGAACACCGGCUAACUCCGUGCCAGCAGCCGCGGUAAUACGGAGGGUGCGAGCGUUAAUCGGAAUUACUGGGCGU
rnacentral:rRNA from 1 species